CCUACGGGAGGCUGCAGUGAGGAAUAUUGGUCAAUGGGCUUACGCCUGAACCAGCCAAGUCGCGUGAGGGAAGACUGCCCUAUGGGUUGUAAACCUCUUUUGUCAGGGAGCAAUUGGCGCUACGUGUAGCGUUAUCGAGAGUACCUGAAGAAAAAGCAUCGGCUAACUCCGUGCCAGCAGCCGCGGUAAUACGGAGGAUGCGAGCGUUAUCCGGAUUUAUUGGGUUUAAAGGGUGCGCAGGCGGAGGCACAAGUCAGCGGUAAAAUCGCGGGGCUCAACCCCGCUCCGCCGUUGAAACUGUGUCCCUUGAGUGCGCGAAGGGUAGGCGGAAUGCGUGGUGUAGCGGUGAAAUGCAUAGAUAUCACGCAGAACUCCGAUCGCGAAGGCAGCCUACCGGCGCGCAACUGACGCUCAUGCACGAAAGCGUGGGUAUCGAACAGGAUUAGAUACCCUGGUAGUC
rnacentral:rRNA from 1 species